rnacentral:lncRNA from 1 species
GCCAGAGCGGGGGACGGGGCACCCUGCCCUCCACUCCACUCUGUCCAGUUUCUGCAUUUAUUUUGAUAAAUACCAGUGACAACGGCUGUCUGGGAGCUUAAACUGUGCUCCUGUUCCCCCUCUGGGGCAAAGGCACACUCCACCCAAGCCCUGUCCUCUGCUGAGAGGUAGAGAGCCCGUGCCAGCAGGCAGAAGAGCCAGGGGACUGAGCUAGGCUGGCCGUGUCCCCCCACCGGAGGCCCUGGCCUCAGCAUCAAGGCACCACCCCAGCUGCUCUGUGAAUACGUAGACGCCGGGCGAACAGGAGAGGAGGACUGAGCUCAUUAGCAAGACGCUGAACUCAAUUAGAUAACCGGGCGCCUCGAACAAGAAACCAACUGGCCCGGGUGACGGGGACGCUGGAACUCUCCCCGCCAAAGUGAGAUGAAAAUGGGGGAAGAGAACAUUCCUCAUGGGCAGGACACGUAUGAACACAAAGCUGUCAUUUCUUUCUAGAACCAUCUACCAACUCAAUCCAAUCCCACCAGAGGAACUACCAGCAAUCCUCCCGUGGUGGCAGGCGGGCAGGGACUUCAGUGGCUUUCAGUUCAAACACGAGGACAGAGCAGGAGGCCUCUGUGACAGGGGGGGCCACCCGCCUGGAGCAGCCGUGUGUGGAGCUGCGCAGGAGACCUCAGGCCCGUGGAGCGAGGAGACGGCGAAGGCCCCUUGUGGGGCGGCCAGUGCUGGCCAUUUGGAGGGAAGAGCUGAAAAACCACAUCCCCAGCUCCUUCCUCUGCCAAAGCAAAUUCUAGGAGAGAGUUUUGAACAAGAAAAUGAAGCCGUAAAAAGCAAGAAGAAAACACAGCGCCCUGUAAUGCGAUCUCAGAGCAGAAACCACUCUGGUCGCCCCGCACAGUCCUGCCAGGAAACAGCCAGCAAAGUGACUCUCACGAUGGGAAGUCCUGCACGGCGUCCAGCCAUGUGUGUCUCAUCUGUAUGACACGUGUGCUAUGUGCUCAUGUGAAGAACCGACAGGCAGCAAUUAUAUGAAAAGAUGUGAAUCCAACUCAAAGAUCUCUGGGCCUAUGAUAGUGACAAAACUGCAAAAAUUUGUGAAUGCGUGUUGGCGAGGACAUGGAGAAAAGGUAACCCAGACGCCAGCCAGAGCAGGGUGCUAAUUGGCAAGCACCCCCGCAGGGCAAUCGGACCCUAUGAUGCCAGACCCUCGGCCUCACCCUCACGGUGCCCUCUUGUACGUGGAAGUCGGGAGGACCUCGCAGGGGAGCCGGCGUCCCGUGGCCCCACACCAGCAGCAGCAGCAGUGCUCAGGCACAGGGCUAGCAGCAGGAGCCGCCCCGGGGGCUCUGGGGGUGUUAAUCAACCUCACAACAGCCCCCCAGCCUCAGAACAGAUGAGAGAAAAAGGCACAGAAAGGGGGGCGGUAACUGCCCAGGGCCACACAGCAGGAAGUGGGCAGCACAGCCGCCAGGUGAGCCAGGCUGCUGGUGCAGGUGGGGUGGCAGAGCCCUGUACGGGGUGGCAGAGGCCUGUGCAGGGUGGCGCCCUAUCCCCAGCAGCUGGCACCAUUGCCAUAGUGGUGGGCGCAGGGUGUCCUGGUGAGCAGUUUAGUUGCUGAGGUGAUUUCUGUCCCCCUCCCAAGCCUCUGAGGUUGAUUCUGCUUUCCUAAGCACUCUGACUAACAGAAAAUUGUAGGGUGGGCCUGACCCAGCAGCCAUACUGCCAAGCGGGCGGAUGUGGUGAUGCCCAUGUGUCCUGGACAGGCCACUACUGUCCAGUGCAGGACGGUUCUGGGGCCUCCGCUGACUCCAGACGAGGUCCCUUCCCAGCAAAGCCAAGAGCAGCUGCGGCUGAGCUUGGCCUCCUCCCUGCAAGGAGCGCUGCUUUCCGAGGGCCCAGGGCCACGAGCACUGGCCGUGUCCAGGUGCAGCUUGAGGCUUGCCCUUAGAGCUGGGCACACCUGCUGUAGGCCUCGAUGGAGCCCCUCCACGGCCCUGCGGAGGUUUCAGGCCCUUUCCCUCUAGUGAACAGGAGAAUAACAGGACCAGAGAGGGCUUGCGCCUGAGGGACCUAGAACCCUCUCCCUCUCGGUUCCCCGGCUGAGGGGCCAGCUGGACGAGAGGGCUUGCCUUUCCUUUCAGGAGGGCCCUCUGGGCUCCCCGAGGCUUCUCUGGGCAAGUGUCUGGGUACAUGGGGAGACACAGUGGGCUGGCGGGGGCAGCGGGGUCGACUAGAAGCACAUCUACCAGGGGCCAGGGAACGUCCAACAACGGGGCCUGAACAGGCAUCAGGCUCACGGGAAGAGGCCGCUGCCUCCCACGGGCAGAGAGGAAAGCCCAUGCUCCCGGAGGAGGAAACACCAGGCCCUGCGUGAGGACAGUCCCAGCCACCUGCCCAGCCCCCUCCCCGGCAUCGGAAAGGCCUCUCCCCCAACUCCUUGGCUUGGAGAGCCUUUUGCCCCAGGUGGAAUUUUGUCCCAAGUGGUGAGAAUCAUAUUUCCACGUGUGGCUCCUCGGCAGAAGCCUUGGCCACGUUCUGCCCCUACGAGGUGGCCGUGCCUGGGAUCCCAAGGACUCCCGCGGCUGAGGCAGGAGGAGCGCAAGCCAGGCAAUUUGGGGAGGCCUCGUCUCAAAAUAAAAAGGUAGGGGUGUAGUUCAGAGGUGGAGCACCCCUGGGUCCAAUCCCCAAAAGAGAGAAAAGGGGAAACAAAGGGGGGUGGAGUAGCUGGGCAGGAAGGGAAAGAAACACCUUUUCCCCCCUGCUCAGUGCUGGCGUCCACCAGCGGAUCGGCCGCCUGGCCAGAAGUCAGAGCCCCAGGCUUGCUCUGGGUGCAGAUGACCAAGGCCCACCGCCAGAGCCCCUCUGGCUGGGCAGCAACGUCGUCCUCCUGGUGGGAGGCACAGCCCACUCGGGUUUUUCUACAGCCCGACUGGCCACCACUUUGGGAGCUGCUUGCCCUCUGACCCUUGGCUUCCCCCUGUGUGAACAGCAGGGCCCUUCCACGGAGGGCUGCAAGCGCUGAGUAAAGUCGUGUCCAUCACAUCUUAGCCCUCACUAGGGCUGCCGAGCACAUGCCCACCGAGUCCCAUUCCACCACUGGAUUGCACACUGAAGGGGUGGCUGCGGGGCCAGGAGCAUCUGUGGGCCCAGCAGAAGGGCUCUCCCAGCUGCACCCCCACGUCUACUAAAAGACCACCCCUUUGGGUGUCCCUCUCCAAGGGAGUAAAUCAAGAGACCCUGUGGCUGUAGCUCUUCUCUGCUCAGACAGCACCUUCAGGUCCAUCUGCAAAUGGCCUCGCAGGGAGCGGGUGCUCUGUGCUCACCCUGCACCCACCGGUUUCUCAACAAGUUCAUGCCCCACCCGACAACAGCUGCCCGGUAAACACAGCCUUCACUAACUUCCUGGAAGACCGUGUUUUAAUUUCCACAAGCUCGGCCUUGGAGCCCUGGGGAGGGAGGCGCCCUGUGCUGAGCUGGCCCCUCCGCAGUACCUGGCACCUUGCUUUUAUUUAUUCCCACAGGAUUGUUUAAUCAUGUCCAGCCUAAAAUCUUGGCACCCGAGACAGAAGCAAGCUGGUGGGAACGUCCCCCGCUCUCCCCUGCAGGAGUCCAACUCAGAACAUCCCUGAGCGUCCAGGGGCGCACAGACCCGAGGAGGACAGCCAGGACCUCCACCGGGAAGAAGCCACAUCACCUCCCUGGAACGCUCUG